AAAAAAAAAAAAAAAACGGUGAUAGAGGGCUUCUGGGUGGUUUUUUGUUUUGUCUUUUGCUAUAACCCCUGGGCUCCUGCCAGUGAUGAUGCUGAGGGUGAUUCCAAUGUUGAGGGACAAGAGAAAAUGGACUUCUGGGUAAGAUCCAUUAUCUUAAUGCAGAUGAAAUUUUCAAUAAUUACAACUUCUUGUCAAACAUGCAGGCUCAAUUGAAAUAAAGUCGUGAAUGUGCCAGGAUUAUCUAGAUCAAUUCUCCUGUAUGUGUUAUCCCUGGUAGUCGAGAGAUAAAGCACCCAUCAUGCUAGGUAAUUAUGUGGAUAAGUGUGGCAAUUCCACAGUAACCCAGCCAUAAGUGAAUUCAGUGGGAACAAUUCAGGCUGAUGUAGCUGGAGGAGAGGAGGGGACCAGAGCAAAGUCCAGAUAGCAUUGUGACAAUCAUGGCCUCAUUUGUGCUGUCAGCAAUAAAGCACUAUAUCACUGCCUAUAGGAGGUAGGCACAAGGGUAAGUUAGAAUGAAUUCUAGACCAUCCCUCAGUGUUCCAGCUGGCAGAUUCCCGAAGUGCAGCACUUAUGAGCCAUGUGACCGGAAGAACAUGGCAAACUCAAUAUUAAGAACAUGGCCUUAGCACGUAAGAUCAGUGUGUGGCUCCUCUUGGUAAAGCAGAGAAUGAACACGCACAUGUGUGAGCACACACACACACACACACAGUCCAUCAAAACGGGGAGAAGUUACUUCUCAAUGUUGUAAAUUUAAAUGAAGUCCGGAGUAGUGAAGGCCAUUUGUAAGGUCUGCUGAGCUAAUGGAUUCAUAAUGACUUUUCAAGCUUCGCUCUGAGGUGGAGUCUGGGAAGAGCUUCAAGCUUGAAGGUGCAGCAGGUUAGGGGGGGAAGGGGUUGCGUUCCGGGAAGAGGUGAGAAGUCUGAGGAGCUGAAGCUCCCAGGAUCAUACUUGGAUUAUUCUUUCCACUGGGUUUCUCCUCCUGAUCUUCCCAAGACUCUCCUGUGACCCUGUGGCUCGCUCAGAAUGACCCUGGGGAGAAAGAUGCACUUCUGAAGGACACGGGAUGAUAACCUGGCCAGGAAGAUGCAUUGCUUUCAUGGAGAUGAGAUUGGCUGUACCCUUCGUUCCUUGUAGAGUAGAAAUGCUGGACCAAUCACGUGUAAGGGAGCAGCACCAUUCCGGAGGCAUGAGCAGGUUCGGGCCGACGUAACUGUGUCUGAGGCAAGGAGAGCAGGCUCACGAAAACACGGCCAGUUCUCCAUAUUCAGCUCUCCACUGUCACCCCACAAGUCAGAGAGGGUCGGAGGCACCUGCUUCCAGGUGGGCAGCAGAGGGCCUGUUAGCGCCGGAGCCUGGGAGAGGCGGGGAGCCCCUGGGCGGCACCAGCCGAGCCCUCGCCGAACCGUCCUGAAGGCCUGGCUUCUCCCUGACCCAGAAUUCCACGAUCCCUUGAAAAGGCAUCGAUGCUGGAUGCCCCCUGUUUAA